rnacentral:rRNA from 1 species
UCAGGAUGAACGCUGGCGGCGUGCCUAAUACAUGCAAGUCGAGCGAACUGAUUAGAAGCUUGCUUCUAUGACGUUAGCGGCGGACGGGUGAGUAACACGUGGGCAACCUGCCUGUAAGACUGGGAUAACUUCGGGAAACCGAAGCUAAUACCGGAUAGGAUCUUCUCCUUCAUGGGAGAUGAUUGAAAGAUGGUUUCGGCUAUCACUUACAGAUGGGCCCGCGGUGCAUUAGCUAGUUGGUGAGGUAACGGCUCACCAAGGCAACGAUGCAUAGCCGACCUGAGAGGGUGAUCGGCCACACUGGGACUGAGACACGGCCCAGACUCCUACGGGAGGCAGCAGUAGGGAAUCUUCCGCAAUGGACGAAAGUCUGACGGAGCAACGCCGCGUGAGUGAUGAAGGCUUUCGGGUCGUAAAACUCUGUUGUUAGGGAAGAACAAGUACGAG